GGGUGCGGGAAGGCGCGCCCAGGGUCCCCGGAGCACGUGUCCCGCGUGAUCGCGCGCCCCGAAGUGGCCGUCGCGGGUGCGGCAGGCUUGGCUCCCACGCGUAGGGACACGGGCGCCUUUCUCACUCCUGGCGGAAUGGCAAGGGGCACCCGGGUUUUUUCCGGAAGGUGGUUAGGGCCGUACUGAGAAAGGUGGUUUAUGGAUGAGGAAGAGGACAGUGACCCAUAGCCAACUAUUGGAAGGAGCUAGCAAGAAGGGUCCAAACCGACGGCACUGGACGGCGGUCUCUGUCUCCACGCCAGGCCUUUCCUCAGGGCCCUGGGUUUUUGUCUAGAGACCCAGAUGUUUUGGAGCAGUUGCCAUGCAUGCGUGAGCUUCAGCAUUGAAGAUCAGAGACCCCACAGUUUCUGAGAGAACGAUUGUAGUCUCUGGUCUUCCAGUUAGCCUUUCCAAAGACCAGCUAGUGAAGCGUUACUUCCGAGAUGAGGGUGGACACGUGGAAGAGGUGAUAUAUCCAUCAAGAACCAAAGGACUUGCAUAUGUCAUAUUCAAAGAAAAGAAAGUUGCACAGAAUGUCAUCAGACAAAAGAAACGCUCCCUGGCCUCAAAGCCUCAGCUCACCGUCUCUCCGUUCAGUGAAAAGGUCUUCAACUAUGUGAUGGCUAUUCUUGAUCUGUCUAUUUUUCGGACUCAAAUCGUACUAGAAAGCUUGGUAACGGACCUGAAAAAGAAAAUCCCAGCUUUAAACUUCAGCCCAUUGGGACCCAGUGGGAAAAUCUCCGUGCAAGGUUCAUUUCUGGCUAUCAUGAAGCUCAAACAGGCUUUGAUAGCAAAAGCCAUCUCCGCUUCAGAAAGCAACAGGAAGGAGGAUGCCGGCAAGAGGAGAAAUCACAGUAGACAGAACCCUGGAGGCGUCCUACAGGGCAGGGAGACCUCUGCAGCGGCACUUGGGACCUCUGUACCUGAGUCUGCCAGAAGCCAAGCGACGCUUGUGCUUGAUACAGAUGUUUUCCUUUACCUGAAACACAAGUGUGAGUUGUAUGAACUAACACUGAACAAAUACCGGAUCCUGUGUCAGGAGAGCGUGGAUGGUGACGUCACCACCAUUUGUCUGCAAGAUGCUCACGGUGGGUCUCGCCCUAGCGGCAUCAGACACGUGAAGGAGCUCAUUGAGGAGUGGGCCCAGGGGCUCCACCUUGAGCUCAGAAAAGAGACACUGGUUUUGGAAGGAAGGGGAGAGAGAGAGAAAAGAAAGAUUAAGCAGGCUUGUGAACAGCUGCGUUACAGAUAUCUUGGAGUUUUGGUUAAUCCUCACCACACACAUAUCGACAUUAUAGGACCUUCAUCCGACACGUUCCUGUUUAAGACAGAGCUCAUGAAAUCCGCAGGGUAAAAGGUCACCUGAGGUCUCAGCCACAGUUGUCAUGGUCGCUUUCUACCUAACUGAGAAGUGACUGUGCUUGCCCCUCAUUUCAUCCAGAUUUUAUUGUGUGUAUCAUUGUCUUCAUGUUAUAGGAGAAGAAGGUAGGAUUUAGGGAAAUUAAAAUACUAUCCAAAGUUACCCAGCUGACAAGGAAUGGGCCUGGCAUUGAAUACAAAAAUAGUAAGUACCUAAAUCAAACUGAAAAACAAAACAACAACAACAACAACAACAAAAAAAACCCUCACUAAACUUGGAAGAAAUCUCACUUUUCCUGCAACUCCAAAUUAUUAGGAAAAGAAGUUUUUCCGCUGACAGAGGUUUGUAUGAUUACCGUGCUGUUGCUAAGUUCUCAGGGUUUGUAUUUACUCCCCACAGCAUUAGAAUGUUGCCUAGGGUCACUUGGGAAAGUGGUGGUUCUGUUAGAAUUGUAAGGAAUCUUUGGAGAAAUUUGUGUGCUUGCUAUUGUAGACAAUUCUUGUUUUACAACGGUAUGCCAGUCAGAUACGUGUUGUAAUUUCAAAACAUGGUGAGUCAAAAAAGUGCCUUUAACCCAUGUAACUUGCAGAACAUCCUUACUUUGCUACACUGUCUGUGGCAGAGAAAUGACUCCUUACCCUGGCUGCUGCGCUGAUUGACAGCUAGAGCUCACCGUUGCUGCUCAGCAUUGCUAGAGAGCAUUGCGUGGUGCGUCACUAGCCUGGAAAAGAUUGAGUGUCUGAAGUACUGACCAUGUACUCCUUUUGCACCAUAAUAAAGUAAAACUUACAGUAAUAUUAAAUUGUGAGUUGAACCAUCAUUGAGCCAAGCAAGGAUCAUCUGCAUUCUGAGCAUCUGUGAUCUUAUUCCUCAAAUGCUGUUACUUGAACAGCACGAUAAUAAAGACAAAGAAAGAAAA